CCUACGGGUGGCUGCAGUCUAGAGGCUUCGGCAAUGGGCGAAAGCCUGACCGAGCGACGCCGCGUGCAGGAUGAAGGCCUUCGGGUCGUAAACUGCUUUCGGCCGGGAGCAACGCAUGGGUGGCGAACCUGUGCUUGAGCGACCGGCGGAAGAAGCCACGGCUAACUCUGUGCCAGCAGCCGCGGUAAUACAGAGGUGGCGAGCGUUAUUCGGAUUUAUUGGGCGUAAAGGGCGUGUAGGCGGCUCUGCACGUCGGGUGUGAAAGCGCUACCGCU
rnacentral:rRNA from 1 species